rnacentral:rRNA from 1 species
UUGAAAGUAAACAGAAAUGAUUGGAGUAGUAAGAGUUAAGUCCUUGAAACUUAAAAAAUUUGGCGGUGUUUUAUUCUUCUUAGAGGAACUUGUUUUAUAAUCGAUAUUCCUCGUUGUAUCUUACUUAAUUUAGUUUAAUUUGUAUAUCGUUGUCAUAAGAAUAUCUUUAAAAAGUGAAUAAUGUUCUAAUUUAAUAAUUUUUUUUUAUGUCAGAUCAAGGUGCAGUAUAUAUUUAAGUAAAAAUGAGUUACAAUUAAUUUAUUAUUAAUUAUGAAUUAAAGUUUUAAAAAAUUUUAUGAAAGUGGAUUUAAUAGUAAAUAUUAAUUAUUAAGUAAUAUUGAUAAAAGUUUUAAAAUGUGC